UUUCCGUAGGUGAACCUGAGGAAGGAUCAUUAUUGGAUUUUGAAACUCCAGGCUGCUGCUGGCUCUCCUCGGAGGGCAUGUGCACGCUUGUUGUCCAUUAUUUAUCCACUGUGCACAAAUUGUAGACCUUUCAGAAGUCCUAUGUUGUUUUUCACAAACUCUGAAUGUAAUAGAAUGGUUUUGAAUCUUGGCAAAUACGAUACAACUUUCAGCAACGGAUCUCUUGGCUCUCACAUCGAUGAAGAACGCAGC
rnacentral:misc_RNA from 1 species